rnacentral:rRNA from 3 species
CAGUGUCUGGUGGGUAGUUUGACUGGGGCGGUCUCCUCCUAAAGAGUAACGGAGGAGCACGAAGGUUGGCUAAUCCUGGUCGGACAUCAGGAGGUUAGUGCAAUGGCAUAAGCCAGCUUGACUGCGAGCGUGACGGCGCGAGCAGGUGCGAAAGCAGGUCAUAGUGAUCCGGUGGUUCUGAAUGGAAGGGCCAUCGCUCAACGGAUAAAAGGUACUCCGGGGAUAACAGGCUGAUACCGCCCAAGAGUUCAUAUCGACGGCGGUGUUUGGCACCUCGAUGUCGGCUCAUCACAUCCUGGGGCUGAAGUAGGUCCCAAGGGUAUGGCUGUUCGCCAUUUAAAGUGGUACGCGAGCUGGGUUUAGAACGUCGUGAGACAGUUCGGUCCCUAUCUGCCGUGGGCGCUGGAGAACUGAGGGGGGCUGCUCCUAGUACGAGAGGACCGGAGUGGACGCAUCACUGGUGUUCGGGUUGUCAUGCCAAUGGCACUGCCCGGUAGCUAAAUGCGGAAGAGAUAAGUGCUGAAAGCAUCUAAGCACGAAACUUGCCCCGAGAUGAGUUCUCCCUGAGACUUAGAGUCUCCUGAAGGAACGUUGAAGACGACGACGUUGAUAGGCCGGGUGUGUAAGCGCAGCGAUGCGUUGAGCUAACCGGUACUAAUGAACCGUGAGGCUUAACCUU